rnacentral:rRNA from 1 species
UACAGAGGGUGCGAGCGUUAAUCGGAAUUACUGGGCGUAAAGCGUGCGUAGACGGUUGCGUAAGUCGGAUGUGAAAUCCCCGGGCUCAACCUGGGAAUUGCAUUCGAGACUGCGUAGCUGGGGUGCGGAAGAGGGAAGCGGAAUUUCCGGUGUAGCGGUGAAAUGCGUAGAUAUCUGGAGGAACACCGGUGGCGAAGGCGGCGUUCUGGACGGCAUCUGACACUGAGAAACGAAAGCCAGGGGAGCAAACGGG